UACGUAGGGGGCAAGCGUUGUCCGGAAUCAUUGGGCGUAAAGCGCGCGUAGGCGGCCCGAUCAGUCCGCUGUAAAAGUCCAGGGCUCAACCCUGGAAAGCCGGUGGAUACUGUCGGGCUAGAGUCCGGAAGAGGCGAGUGGAAUUCCUGGUGUAGCGGUGGAAUGCGCAGAUAUCGAGAGGAACACCUGCGGCGAAGGCGGGUUGCUGGGCUGACACUGACGCUGAGGCGCGAAAGCUAGGGGAGCGAACGGG
rnacentral:rRNA from 1 species